UUUCUUCGGGGAAUCACCCAGGAGCAGGCAGCCGCUCAGCUCCCAGCUGUAUCCCUGCCAGCCUCCCAGCCCCCAGCACAGCGGCCGAUGCUGAUGCUUUUUUACGCCCUAUUUAUUUUCACUUGGGGAAGGCCCCUGCAAAGCGAAGACACCUGGGUGCAGGCUAGAGACUCCCCCUGGACCUGAGCUAGCCCCCAGGGAGGCACAAAGGUAUCUCACACACAGCUGAGGUCCCUGCACUUUGUCUCCUGCAAGAAGGAGACUUCAGCUGCGCUGGAGCUGGCGCAAACUUAAAGCAAAGCUACAACCUGGAUACCUGGCCCCGUGCAGCACCCAUGAAGUCAGUAGGGCUUGGCAGUGAGGUCCACCUUGCAGAGCUGGGGGAAGAAGGGAACGAGUGAAGGGGCAUGCAGAAAAGGAGCGAUGGGGCCCGAGCAGCCGAUGAAGGCUCCUGCCUUCACCAGGAAGAUGAAGCCUGGUCCUUCUGGUUGUUUGCAGGGCAGGGGAGCGGACUGGAUGACCCCGGGGGCCCGCACCCAGGCGUAUUUCCUCCAUGCCAUGCAGUUGAUACUCAGCACCAUAAGCAGGAUGGUGCAGUUGAUACUCAGCACCAUAAGCAGGAUCAUCUCCGGGAUGAAAAAUACCUCCGUCUUGGGGAUCCACUCGCUGCCCCCACCCCUCCCCAUGCUAACUCAUCCUAGGGCACGAAGCGUGUGAUGUCACGAGUGCACAGAGAGCAUCCUCCCUGCCAGGAGAGUUAUGGUCUUGUCAGCAGUGUUCAUCACGCUGCAGAUAAUAUCAGACUAGGAACAGCUCGUGCUGCAUGGGAUGUUUCACCAAAUCAGAUCAUUUUAAAAUAAAAGCACUCGGCUCCUUUGAA